ACACUCCUGCGGGAGGCAGCAGUGGGGAAUUUUGGACAAUGGGCGAAAGCCUGAUCCAGCAAUGCCGCGUGAGUGAAGAAGGCCUUCGGGUUGUAAAGCUCUUUUGUCAGGGAAGAAACGGUGAAAGCUAAUAUCUUUUGCUAAUGACGGUACCUGAAGAAUAAGCACCGGCUAACUACGUGCCAGCAGCCGCGGUAAUACGUAGGGUGCAAGCGUUAAUCGGAAUUACUGGGCGUAAAGCGUGCGCAGGCGGUUUUGUAAGUCUGAUGUGAAAUCCCCGGGCUCAACCUGGGAAUUGCAUUGGAGACUGCAAGGCUAGAAUCUGGCAGAGGGGGGUAGAAUUCCACGUGUAGCAGUGAAAUGCGUAGAUAUGUGGAGGAACACCGAUGGCGAAGGCAGCCCCCUGGGUCAAGAUUGACGCUCAUGCACGAAAGCGUGGGGAGCAAACAGGAUUAGAUACCCGAGUAGUCCCAUGA
rnacentral:rRNA from 1 species